rnacentral:rRNA from 1 species
CCCACCGUUCAUAGAGCAGGGGCCACACCCGUUCCCAUUCCGAACACGGAAGUUAAGCCCUGCUUCGGCGAUGGUACUGCCGGGCAUCCUCGGUGGGAGAGUAGCGCGACGGUGGGA